rnacentral:rRNA from 1 species
AAUGAACGCUGGCGGCAGGCCUAACACAUGCAAGUCGAACGAGGCAGCAAUGCCUAGUGGCGGACGGGUGAGUAACGCGUGGGAACGUGCCCCUUGGUACGGAAUAGCCCUGGGAAACUGGGAGUAAUACCGUAUGUGGUCGAGAGACGAAAGAUUUAUCGCCAAGGGAUCGGCCCGCGUUGGAUUAGGUAGUUGGUGGGGUAAUGGCCUACCAAGCCGACGAUCCAUAGCUGGUUUGAGAGGAUGAUCAGCCACAGUGGGACGGAGACACGGCCCAUACUCCUACGGGAGGCAGCAGUGGGGAAUCUUAGAAAAUGGGGGAAACCCUGAUCUAGCCAUGCCGCGUGAUCAAGGAAGGCCUUAGGGUUGUAAAGAUCUUUCGGUGGGGAAGAUAAUGACGGUCCCCACAGAAGAAGCCCCGGCUAACUCCGUGCCAGCCGCCGCAGUAA